CUUAGACUUCUCAGGGGAACUUGUUCCAUAAUCGACAGUCCACGUCACACCUUUCCUUUUUUAGUAUAAUCAGCAUGUAUACCGUCGUCGACAGGUAACUUCUAAAAAUUAAAGAGUUAGCUAGAAAGCUAGAUUAUCAGCUUCAACGUCAGAUCAAGGUGCAGCCAAUAAAAAGGAGUGAAUGAGUUACAAUUAUUACUAAUAACUACGAAUUAAAGGAUGAAAUUCCUUUAUAAA
rnacentral:rRNA from 1 species